UAAGGAAUAUUGGUCAAUGGACGCAAGUCUGAACCAGCGACGCCGCGUGGGUGAAGAAGGUCUUCGGAUCGUAAAGCCCUUUUCCCACUGAAGAGGAAGGACGGUAGGUGGGGAAGAAGUCUCGGCUAACUACGUGCCAGCAGCCGCGGUAAAACGUAGGAGACAAGCGUUAUCCGGAGUUACUGGGCGUAAAGGGCGUGCAGGUGGCGUCUUAAGUCUGUUGUGAAAGCGCCUGGCUUAACCGGGCGAGGCCAAUGGAGACUGAGAGGCUGGAGGACGGCGGAGGGGUGUGGAAUUCCGGGUGUAGUGGUGAAAUGCGUAGAGAUCCGGAGGAACACCAGAGGCGAAGGCGGCACUCUAAGCCGUACCUGACACUGAGACGCGACAGCACGGGGAGCAAACG
rnacentral:rRNA from 1 species